rnacentral:rRNA from 1 species
GAUGAACGCUGGCGGCGUGCCUAAUACAUGCAAGUCGAGCGAACAGACGAGGAGCUUGCUCCUCUGACGUUAGCGGCGGACGGGUGAGUAACACGUGGAUAACCUACCUAUAAGACUGGGAUAACUUCGGGAAACCGGAGCUAAUACCGGAUAAUAUAUUGAACCGCAUGGUUUAAUAGUUCAAGACGGUUUUGCUGUCACUUAUAGAUGUAUCCGCGCCGCAUUAGCUAGUUGGUAAGGUAACGGCUUACCAAGGCAACGAUGCGUAGCCGACCUGAGAGGGUGAUCGGCCACACUGGAACUGAGACACGGUCCAGACUCCUACGGGAGGCAGCAGUAGGGAAUCUUCCGCAAUGGGCGAAAGCCUGACGGAGCAACGCCGCGUGAGUGAUGAAGGUCUUCGGAUCGUAAAACUCUGUUAUUAGGGAAGAACAAAUGUGUAAGUAACUAUGCACGUCUUGACGGUACCUAAUCAGAAAGCCACGGCUAACUACGUG